UAUUUUGGUGCCAGAGCUGACUGAUGGGUGCACGUGGUUCCUUUGUAUGUUCUUCCUUUGAAAAAAUAAACGUAUUUUGGUGCCAGAGCUGACUGAUGGGUGCACGUGGUUCCUUCGUAUGUUCUUCCUUUGAAAAUAUAAACGUAUUUUGGUGCCUGAGAUGACUGAUGGGUGCACAUGGUUCCUUCUAUUUUGGUGCCAGAGCUGACUGAUGGGUGCACGUGGUUCCUUUGUAUGUUCUUCCUUUGAAAAAAUAAACGUAUUUUGGUGCCAGAGCUGACUGAUGGGUGCACGUGGUUCCUUUGUAUGUUCUUCCUUUGAAAAAA